AUACGAGGGGUGCAAACGUUAUUCGGAAUCACUGGGCGUAAAGGGUGCGUAGACGGCAAAACAAGUCAAUUAUUAAAUCUCCUGGCUUAACCGGGAGUCUGUAGUUGAAACUGUUUAGCUAGAGGAUGGAAGAGAGAAGUGGAAUUCUCGGAGUAGCGGUAAAAUGCGUAGAUCUCGAGAGGAACACCGAUGGCGAAGGCAGCUUCUUGGUCCAUUUCUGACGUUGAGGCACGAAAGCGUGGGGAGCAAACAGGAUUAGAAACCCGGGUAGUCC
rnacentral:rRNA from 1 species